rnacentral:rRNA from 1 species
CCUACGGGAGGCAGCAGUGAGGAAUAUUGGUCAAUGGACGAGAGUCUGAACCAGCCAAGUAGCGUGAAGGAUGAAUGCCCUCUGGGUGGUAAACUUCUUUUAUAUGGGAAUAAAAUGUUCCACGUGUGGGAUUUUGUAUGUACCAUAUGAAUAAGGAUCGGCUAACUCCGUGCCAGCAGCCGCGGUAAUACGGAGGAUCCGAGCGUUAUCCGGAUUUAUUGGGUUUAAAGGGAGCGUAGGUGGAUUGUUAAGUCAGUUGUGAAAGUUUGCGGCUCAACCGUAAAAUUGCAGUUGAAACUGGCCGUCUUGAGUACAGUAGAGGUGAGCGGAAUUCGUGGUGUAGCGGUGAAAUGCUUAGAUAUCACGAAGAACUCCGAUUGCGAAGGCAGCUCACUGGACUGCAACUGACACUGAGGCUCGAAAGUGUGGGUAUCAAACAGGAUUAGAUACCCCUGUAGUC